UAUCAAAGAUGGCGACCUCAGUAGGCUCUAGUUUACCUGCCAAAUCUUGAUUAAUGGAAAGCAGGAGUUUGAGGUACAGCAACUGGACCACAAAGCGGACGGGAACUGCUCCAGUGGAAGAUUGGAUCUAAAACCUUCGAAUGACACACUGUUUAUAUAAUAAGUGUGCUGCUCACAUACUUGUCUUCAGAUGGGAAAGACGACAGGCCUUUACAGAUAUGAGUGCAAAAGAACCUGUUGGAAAAGGAGCCCAUGCAAAUAAGCAGCCCACUCAGGAACCUGGAACACAUCUAAGCCCAAACGAGGCACACACUCCCAUGAGUCUCCUCAAAUCUUUUCUUUUCUUUUUUGAUGUCCUUCAGAGCACAUAAACAAAAUAUGAACACUUUGGAAAUUCCUGGUAUGUAUUGUUCAUUUAUAUACACAAUACCAGUCAAAAUCUUUCGAAAAGUACGAUUUUUCAUGUUUUUGUAAAGAAUUAUCUUCUGCUCACCAAGCCUGCAUUUAUUUGAUCUGAAAUACAUAAAGUUGCAUUUGCAAAAGCAUUAAUAUUAUGAAAUAUUUUU